CUGCACCUGUGGAGGACGAAGCAUAUUUCUGUUUCUGGAGGAUUAUUUAUAAUCUGCCGGAAAGUCUUGCAGGUGGCUGGGAUAUGUUCAGUCUGGUAGAAUUAAGCACGCUUUAAUUCCUUCAAAGCAUUUU
rfam:Clostridium sp. CAG:590 genomic scaffold, scf156